GAUUAAAAGGGAAUUAGCCAGCAGAGAGCUACUGAGAAGCCUCCCUGCUCCGAGGGGUGACCACGCUACGGACGCGCUUCCGCGAUGGUUCGCGCAAGGAACGCUCGCUCCACGUGAACAGGAAGCCAGAUGACCAUCUUAGGGGAGAUACAGGAUAUCAAGGUUUGUUGCAAAUAGAAGUGAAUCGGACAACACUCGCCAUCAUAAUUGCUUUCUGUGUGAAGAGGUCUUUUUCAGGCUGGGCUGGCUGCUGCUGUUUUAAUCAGAAGGUUGUCUAUUUGUAUGUUAAUAGUUUCAUCCUGGUUUAUUAGGCUUGUUGAUGAAAAAGCAAAAAUCAGAUGCUUUACUAUUUUCAAGCUCAACUAUUAAUCUGUGAUUUUUUUGGUGCUAACACAGAACCAUUUCAGCAUCCUCUGCCUUAAAUCCUCUUAAUGAAAGCAUGAAGAAUGACAAAAUACUUCCUUUCAUAAAGCAGAAGGCUGUGCCAAUUCACUUUCAACAUGCUCAUUCAGUGGAACUGAGGUAAAUAUGUUGCUCCACAGGUGCUUCUCCUUGCAAUAACAUACUCCCUAGUAAUCCAUUAAAUUCAUCUCAUGCUCUGUUUAGUGCCUGCUCUGUGAACUGCCUAGCUGGUUAAGGUCAUUGUGGUAAUAGCACCAGGUUAAACAGCAUGGGUGUGUUGAACUCUGACAUCCAUCCAGUUUGCCCACAAUACAGAUAAGAAACCACGGGCAGCUUUAGAGGUGUAAUAUCUACUCAGACCAACACAAUCUUUUACCCUCUCCACCUCCUUACAAGACAAAACCCUUAGAUUAGAAAAAUAUCUUUAAUCUCAGGACUCCCUAAAAUAAUUUAGUGCAUUUAGAAACAACA